CUAUUGUGCAAUUCUCAAUUCACCAACUGUUGUGCGUUUCUUAAUCAUUUCCUUUCUUUUUCUUAUAGAGAGCAGUCAUGAUGGUCUGCACUCCACACAAGGCAACAGAGUGAAAGAGCAGGUUCUGGUUCUUUGGGGUAGUCCUGAAGCUUUCUAAGAAAGUUCACAUCAGGUGAUGGAUAGGAGCAACCCUACAAAACCAGCCUUAGACUAUUUUUCAAACAGGGGAAGUGUUUAUAAGUCAUCCCAAGGAAGAAGCAAUUCUGAUGAGAACUACUUAAUGGCUUUGCAAUAACAAUCCAAAGAUGGAAGAAAAUACUUCUAAGUGUAGACAAAAUGACUUCUCUUUUUGACAUUCUAUAGGUCAAGCUGCAAAGGGUAACCCAAGACUCUUCUAUCCAUCUGGUAUUCCAAUUCCUCAUCUUUUCCAACACUAAUCACCUCUGAUAUCAUAUUUUGGUUGUUUCAUGAUCAGCAUCCCCUGCUGAAGGCAACACUGUCACUGAAGACUGCUCAAAGCAUCUACCUGCCUCCUUUUUCAAUCUAAACUUUAUAUGUUAAAUAGUCACACCACAUCCUACUUUGUUUUGGCAACUGACAAAUAAAGAGGGAAUACUACACCAAAAAAAAAAAAAAAAAAGAGAGAGAGAGAGAGAUAGAGAGAGAAAAAUGCAACUGGCAACUAAUCUGAAGAAGUACACCUAUUUCCUGGAAGUUUAAGACAAUGAAAACUACAGGUGCUUUCUUGUCACAAAUUUUCUGAUCCUCAGUUUGCAAUAUCAACUGACUUUUCUCUGAAACAAGAAAUGAGCUACCAGGAUCUACCUACAUAUGCUUACAUCUGAUUCAGUGUUUCUUACCAUUGUGAUUUGCAAUUUACCCAGUGAGAGAAAUGAAGCUGAUUCUGAGUAUUCUG
rnacentral:lncRNA from 10 species